rnacentral:rRNA from 1 species
UACAGAGGUCUCAAGCGUUGUUCGGAUUUAUUGGGCGUAAAGGGUGCGUAGGCGGCGCGGUAAGUCGGGUGUGAAAUCUCGGAGCUUAACUCCGAAACUGCAUUCGAUACUGCCGUGCUUGAGGACUGGAGAGGAGACUGGAAUUUACGGUGUAGCGGUGAAAUGCGUAGAUAUCGUAAGGAAGACCAGUGGCGAAGGCGGGUCUCUGGACAGUUCCUGACGCUGAGGCACGAAGGUCAGGGAGCAAACGGG